rnacentral:rRNA from 2 species
AUUGAUUGGUGCUUGCAUCAUGAUUUACAUUUGAGUGAGUGGCGAACUGGUGAGUAACACGUGGGAAACCUGCCCAGAAGCGGGGGAUAACACCUGGAAACAGAUGCUAAUACCGCAUAACAACUUGGACCGCAUGGUCCGAGUUUGAAAGAUGGCUUCGGCUAUCACUUUUGGAUGGUCCCGCGGCGUAUUAGCUAGAUGGUGGGGUAACGGCUCACCAUGGCAAUGAUACGUAGCCGACCUGAGAGGGUAAUCGGCCACAUUGGGACUGAGACACGGCCCAAACUCCUACGGGAGGCAGCAGUAGGGAAUCUUCCACAAUGGACGAAAGUCUGAUGGAGCAACGCCGCGUGAGUGAAGAAGGGUUUCGGCUCGUAAAACUCUGUUGUUAAAGAAGAACAUAUCUGAGAGUAACUGUUCAGGUAUUGACGGUAUUUAACCAGAAAGCCACGGCUAACUACGUGCCAGCAGCCGCGGUAAUACGUAGGUGGCAAGCGUUGUCCGGAUUUAUUGGGCGUAAAGCGAGCGCAGGCGGUUUUUUAAGUCUGAUGUGAAAGCCUUCGGCUCAACCGAAGAAGUGCAUCGGAAACUGGGAAACUUGAGUGCAGAAGAGGACAGUGGAACUCCAUGUGUAGCGGUGAAAUGCGUAGAUAUAUGGAAGAACACCAGUGGCGAAGGCGGCUGUCUGGUCUGUAACUGACGCUGAGGCUCGAAAGUAUGGGUAGCAAACAGGAUUAGAUACCCUGGUAGUCCAUACCGUAAACGAUGAAUGCUAAGUGUUGGAGGGUUUCCGCCCUUCAGUGCUGCAGCUAACGCAUUAAGCAUUCCGCCUGGGGAGUACGGCCGCAAGGCUGAAACUCAAAGGAAUUGACGGGGGCCCGCACAAGCGGUGGAGCAUGUGGUUUAAUUCGAAGCUACGCGAAGAACCUUACCAGGUCUUGACAUACUAUGCAAAUCUAAGAGAUUAGACGUUCCCUUCGGGGACAUGGAUACAGGUGGUGCAUGGUUGUCGUCAGCUCGUGUCGUGAGAUGUUGGGUUAAGUCCCGCAACGAGCGCAACCCUUAUUAUCAGUUGCCAGCAUUAAGUUGGGCACUCUGGUGAGACUGCCGGUGACAAACCGGAGGAAGGUGGGGAUGACGUCAAAUCAUCAUGCCCCUUAUGACCUGGGCUACACACGUGCUACAAUGGAUGGUACAACGAGUUGCGAACUCGCGAGAGUAAGCUAAUCUCUUAAAGCCAUUCUCAGUUCGGAUUGUAGGCUGCAUCUCGCCUACAUGAAGUCGGAAUUGCUUA